AUUGAACGCUGGCGGCAGGCUUAACACAUGCAAGUCGAGCGGAGAUGAGGUGCUCGCACCUUAUCUUAGCGGCGGACGGGUGAGUAAUGCUUAGGAAUCUGCCUAUUAGUGGGGGACAACAUUCCGAAAGGAAUGCUAAUACCGCAUACGUCCUACGGGAGAAAGCAGGGGAUCUUCGGACCUUGCGCUAAUAGAUGAGCCUAAGUCGGAUUAGCUAGUUGGUGGGGUAAAGGCCUACCAAGGCGACGAUCUGUAGCGGGUCUGAGAGGAUGAUCCGCCACACUGGGACUGAGACACGGCCCAGACUCCUACGGGAGGCAGCAGUGGGGAAUAUUGGACAAUGGGGGGAACCCUGAUCCAGCCAUGCCGCGUGUGUGAAGAAGGCCUUGUGGUUGUAAAGCACUUUAAGCGAGGAGGAGGCUACUGAGACUAAUACUCUUGGAUAGUGGACGUUACUCGCAGAAUAAGCACCGGCUAACUCUGUGCCAGCAGCCGCCGUAAGAC
rnacentral:rRNA from 1 species